GUCUGUGAGUGCAAGUAUACCCCUAGGAAAUCCGGUGGAACGCCGAGGGUUGCUGCAACUACCGGCUGACAUCCCUCUAUAAAGAGAUGAUCUCCUUGUCAACUACCAAUUUCCCCAAGGAGCAGCAGAUACAAGAAAAGUAAGAUGAGAAAAUGGAGGCCAAGGGAGUGAGUUAUCUGGCCAAGGUGACACAAACUACAGUCGUCUGAGUCAGGAUUUGAUCCCAGAGCCUGCGUUCUUUAUCGCUGUGCUGAAUUUCUUCCAAUAAGGCUCUUCUUAACACAGACUGUGUGGGAUACACACAGGAGCACAUUGCUGGCAAUGAACACAGAGCUGCUGGACUGUCAGAUAAAACAGGAGCCUGAUGGUGACUGGAGGAGAUAAUCCAAGAAAUGGCAUCACAGUAACCAGCAGAAUUCGUGCAAAUAGCAAGUUGACGGUCAAAAGCAACUCCAGGUGCCAGUGACUAACUGUGACUGAUGCAUAGAGAUAUUGCUGGAAACAGGCCUGCUCCAAACAACGGAGGGCUCUGGAGCAAUACAGCAAACACUGGUGAUUGAUCGAUCCCCUAUUGUCUUUCUGGCUGGACUGGGACCACCCCUCAGGAACAAACAAUGUUCUGGGCAACUGGUACCAUCAACUCUGUUGGCAUAACAGCAUGAAAUCUGUUUGUUAUCCCUGCAAAGCCAAGGAAGAAAGGUCUGAAACAGGAAAGCCUCAUUACCCGAAGGUAACUUGUCUUGGAAAAAGCCCACUUAAGGUGAGUCACUUAAAACAGGAGCUAACAGUUCAAAGUAAAUAGAAAAAAUAAGGGGUGAAUAGAGCUUUAUCUUGAAAAAAAAAAAAGUGGAAGUGAAUAUUCACUCAUUCAUUUCAUUUCACAAGCAUUUACCGGGUAGCUACCAUGGUAGACACCAUUUUCAGCCCUGGGAGUACAGUAGUGAAUAAGACCCACAAAUCUUUGUCUUCAAAGAGCUCCCAUUCUAGUGGAGGGGGCAAUUAUAACACAAAUAGAUGAACAAUUAUUAAACAUCAGGUCCUAUGAAGAAAAUAAGACAGAAUAAAGUGAUGGGAGCUGCUAGUUUAGGGAGUGUGGUCAGGGACAUUUUCCUCAAGGAAGCACAUUUGAGCAGAUCUGGGGGUGGUGUUCCCAGCAAAGGGAAUAGCAAGUGCAAAGGGCCUAGGGAAGGAUCAAGUUCACCUGUUGUAAUAAGAGCAGGGAGGCCAGCAUGAUUGGAGGGAAGUUCAGAGUUGUCUCAGGGCCAGGGUGCAUAGGGCCUGGUAGGUCAUGGUAAACAGCAAAUAUGUUAUAAAAAUGUUCUUACUUUCCAUUAUGGAUAUAAUUGUCAUAGUGAGCUAAUUCUUAGAAACAAUCAAGAAUAAAUUCGGCCCAUUGGAGGGGAUUUAUAUAUAAUUUUUCUGCAAAAAUUUUAAUAGCUCAGAAUGAUCACCUUCACUUGACAUUUGACAUGUACUACAUAAUUAUAAAAAGGUAACAUUUACAAAAUUAAUUAAGGGCUUCAUACAUUUUUCCAAGAACCACUCUUAAUCCUUUAAUAUUUAACUCAUUCCCUUCAGUAUUGACGUGUCACCAUCCUUGUCAAUUUUUUAUUCUUGUUAUUGUCAAAACCUUGUUUAUCACUGGUUUUGAAUGUGAUUCAAACCAGUCUCCACCAUCACCUCCACUGACUUCAUGGAAUUCUGAAUCUUGUACACAAAUUAAAACUUUGAUUAGCAAUCCGUUUACAUAUCUGCAUUUUGUUGUCAGACGAAUCAGAGAGAUUGUCACACAGAGGUGGACUUGCUGUACACUAGCAUUAAUUGGAGGGUGGGGGGAUGUUUGAAUGGAAACCAGUAUCAUAACCAGUCCUCCAUUGGUUUAUAUUUUUGGUAUCUCACCUUUGCUUCGCUGGACAUCUUUGAAUCUUCGGGAGCUCAGAGAGGUCAAUCACUCAGAUAAUGAGGCCUCUUUGGUUGCCACAUCAGGCAAGAGUUCUCUCUUUGCACAGGGAAGCCUGCUCACUCCCAAGGGUGCUGGCAGGAAGCUAAGAGUCGCUGUGUGGCGACCAGUGGAGCAGGCCUCUGCUGACUUCCUGGCAUUGUUAGGAUGCUGGCUGCUUGCCGCAGGAGCUUGCAGAAGACCAUCUGGGAGACUAGAAUUCCACUGAGGACACUUUGGGAAACACUGAUCUACAACUUACUUCUAGAAGUCCAGGACUGUGACUGUUCACUCCAUGUCAAGGUCAACGGGCAGGAGAAAUUAACAAUGGAAAGAAUGCAGGACAAACAUCUCCAGGGGAACGAAGCAAGUAGGGGCUAACAGCCGUCCCCUCCCC